rnacentral:rRNA from 1 species
AGACAGGUGUGCAUGGUUGUCGUCAGCUCGUGUCGUGAGAUGUUGGGUUAAGUCCCGCAACGAGCGCAACCCUUGUCCAUAGUAGCCAGCAGUAAGAUGGGCACUCUAUGGAGACUGCCAGGGAUAACCUGGAGGAAGGUGGGGAUGACGUCAAAUCAUCAUGCCCCUUAUGAUCUGGGCCACACACGUGCUACAAUGUCGUAAACAAAGGGACGCAGCCCCGCGAGGGUGAGCAAAUCCCAAAAAUAACGACCCAGUUCGGACUGCAGGCUGCAACCCGCCUGCACGAAGCUGGAAUCGCUAGUAAUCGCAGAUCAGAAUGCUGCGGUGAAUACGUUCCCGGGUCUUGUACACACCGCCCGUCACACCAUGGGAGUCGGAAAUGCCCGAAGUCAGUGACCCAACCGUAAGGAGGGAGCUGCCGAAGGCAGGUCAGAUAACUGGGGUGAAGUCGUAACAAGGUAGCCGUAUCAGAAGGUGCGGCUGGAUCACCU